GACGGGGGGGGGCAAGUGUUCUUCGGAAUGACUGGGCGUAAAGGGCACGUAGGCGGUGAAUCGGGUUGAAAGUGAAAGUCGCCAAAAAAGUGGCGGAAUGCUCUCGAAACCAAUUCACUUGAGUGAGACAGAGGAGAGUGGAAUUUCGUGUGUAGGGGUGAAAUCCGUAAAUAUACGAAGGAACGCCAAAAGCGAAGGCAGCUCGUCUGGGUCCCUACCCGACGCUGGGGUGCGAAAGCAUGGGGAGCGAACAGG
rnacentral:rRNA from 1 species